UUGCGGUUAAAAAGCUCGUAGUUGGAUUUCUGUCGAGGGCGGCCGGUCCGCACUAUGUGCGUGUAUCUGGUUCGGUCUUGGCAUCCUCUUGGGGAUCGUUCGUGUGCUUGAUUGCAUGCGACGGAAUUCAAGACUUUUACUUUGAGGAAAUUAGAGUGUUCACGGCAAGCUAUCGCUUUGAAUACAUUAGCAUGGAAUAAUAAUAUAGGACCUUCAGUACUAUUUUGUUGGUUUCUAGAGCUGAGGUAAUGAUUAAUAGGGACAGUUGGGGGCAUUCGUAUUAACGCGUCAGAGGUGGAAUUCUUGGAUUGCGUUACGACGAACUACUGCGAAAGCAUUUGCCAAGGAUGUUUUCAUUGAUCAAGAACGAAAGUAUGGGGAUCGAAGACGAUUAGAUACCGUCGUAGUCUAUACCAUAAACUAUGCCGACUAGAGAUUGGAGGUCGUUUUUUUAUGACUCCUUCAGCACCUUAUGAGAAAUCAAAGUCUUUGGGUUCCGGGGGGAGUAUGGUCGCAAGGCUGGAACUUUAAAGGAAUUGACCGAAGGGCACCACCAGGAGUGGAGC
rnacentral:rRNA from 1 species